UAUUUCACUGGACUGAGCAGGAUGCUUCCGAUAUAGAGGAAUGGGAUCUUCCCAAAGAAGCAGAAUUGCACAGACACUGUCAUGGACCCAGACAAAAAUGAAAUAGAAAUAUUAUGUGAAAGAGGAAGGAGGAGAAAACAUUUUCUGAAGAUACGAGGGCAUUGCAAAAAUAGGGAAAAUUGCAGAACAAGAUCAGAAUUAAGCUGAGACAGACAUGCUCUUCUGCAGGUGAAAAGCAGACCAGGGGUUUCGGAUUC